GAUGAAUGGACCGAGUUUGGUAUUCUCUCUUUGGAUUUACUUUGUGAAAACCAGGGCAACCUCUUAAUAGUUUGUGUGAAUGUGGGAGUGUAAACUUUGUGACAUAUCACCAGUAUCAAGCAGGACUUGGGUGCUUUACAAAAGGAACUGUCCAGUCUGUUAUAGCAGAUAACCUAGGAGCCCACGGCAUAGCAGGCUUUGUGGAAAGCUUCUCGGUCUUGAACAGCUGACGGAUGCAUAUCCACUGUCUGACUACACAGUAGGAGCACAUCGAAUGGUUGCCUUGAAAAGGCAUAUCCUAAUAUAAGACCGAGAGAAAGAUGUCAUGUCCAGUUAACCUGAGGAUCCUUUUCGGAGGGGAUGACGAUUCCAGGAAACUAACCCUUACCUCAAUUCCAGCAUCU